AUGAAAAUCAGUGCUUGGAAGGAAAAGUUGCUAUCAGCAGGAGGAAAGGAAAUCCUUCUCAAAUCGGUUGUACAAGCUAUCCCAACUUAUGCAAUGUCCGUCUUUAAAAUUCCUAAAAAGAUUUGUAAAGGAAUCAUUGACGCGAUGUCGCAUUUUUGGUGGGGUGACGAAGACAAUCAGAAGAGAAUGCAUUGGAUGGCAUGA
rnacentral:rRNA from 1 species